CAUGGAGCUGAAAUCAGUCGAAGAUACCAGCUGGCUGCAACUGUUUAUUAAAAACACAGCACUGUGCAAACACGAAAGUGGACGUAUACGGUGUGACGCCUGCCCGGUGCCGGAAGGUUAAUUGAUGGGGUUAUCCGUAAGGAGAAGCUCUUGAUCGAAGCCCCGGUAAACGGCGGCCGUAACUAUAACGGUCCUAAGGUAGCGAAAUUCCUUGUCGGGUAAGUUCCGACCUGCACGAAUGGCGUAAUGAUGGCCAGGCUGUCUCCACCCGAGACUCAGUGAAAUUGAACUCGCUGUGAAGAUGCAGUGUACCCGCGGCAAGACGGAAAGACCCCGUGAACCUUUACUAUAGCUUGACACUGAACACUGGUCCUUGAUGUGUAGGAUAGGUGGGAGGCUUUGAAGUGUGGACGCCAGUCUGCAUGGAGCCAUCCUUGAAAUACCACCCUUUAAUGGCUGGUGUUCUAACGUAGACCCGUAAUCCGGGUUGCGGACAGUGUCUGGUGGGUAGUUUGACUGGGGCGGUCUCCUCCUAAAGAGUAACGGAGGAGCACGAAGGUUAGCUAAUCCUGGUCGGACAUCAGGAGGUUAGUGCAAAGGCAUAAGCUAGCUUGACUGCGAGAGUGACGGCUCGAGCAGGUGCGAAAGCAGGUCUUAGUGAUCCGGUGGUUCUGAAUGGAAGGGCCAUCGCUCAACGGAUAAAAGGUACUCCGGGGAUAACAGGCUGAUACCGCCCAAGAGUUCAUAUCGACGGCGGUGUUUGGCACCUCGAUGUCGGCUCAUCACAUCCUGGGGCUGAAGUAGGUCCCAAGGGUAUGGCUGUUCGCCAUUUAAAGUGGUACGCGAGCUGGGUUUAGAACGUCGUGAGACAGUUCGGUCCCUAUCUGCCGUGGGCGCUGGAGAAUUGAGGGGGGCUGCUCCUAGUACGAGAGGACCGGAGUGGACGCAUCACUGGUGUUCGGGUUGUCAUGCCAAUGGCAUUGCCCGGUAGCUAAAUGCGGAAGAGAUAAGUGCUGAAAGCAUCUAAGCACGAAACUUGCCCCGAGAUGAGUUCUCCCUGACUCCUUGAGAGUCCUGAAGGAACGUU
rnacentral:rRNA from 1 species